CCUGGGAAAUGAUGUAAACAAAAGGCCGAAUUGUAGUACCCCUGCCAGGCAGUGUGUUCUCAGAGUGGGGGUGCCUUGACAAAGACUAACCGAAGCACUUAUCUGAUCCCAGA